rnacentral:rRNA from 1 species
AUUGAACGCUGGCGGAAUGCUUUACACAUGCAAGUCGAGCGGCAGCGCGGCCUUCGGGCUGGCGGCGAGCGGCGAACGGGUGAGUAGUGCAUCGGAACAUGCCCAGUCGUGGGGGAUAACACUUCGAAAGAAGUGCUAAUACCGCAUACGUCCUGAGGGGGAAAGCGGGGGAUCGCAAGACCUCGCGCGAUUGGAGUGGCCGAUGUCAGAUUAGCUAGUUGGUGGGGUAAAGGCCUACCAAGGCGACGAUCUGUAGCUGGUCUGAGAGGAUGAUCAGCCACACUGGGACUGAGACACGGCCCAGACUCCUACGGGAGGCAGCAGUGGGGAAUUUUGGACAAUGGGGGCAACCCUGAUCCAGCCAUUCCGCGUGAGUGAAGAAGGCCUUCGGGUUGUAAAGCUCUUUCGGCAGGAACGAAACGGUGGGCUCUAACAUAGUCCGCUAAUGACGGUACCUGAAGAAGAAGCACCGGCUAACUACGUG